GUACCAGCCCCAAACCCUGCCAGCAGUAUGGGGGAGGAUGCAUUUCUCCACACCUUGCUGAAGGAUGGGGACUUGGCAGAGUUCAGUGAUGUUUUAGGGUUGGAACAUUGAUUCCUUUCUCUCUCUCUUUUUUCCCUUUUCUCCUUGUGCCUCUCUUCCUGUGGGUGCCUGAGAAAAUACUCAGCCUGUAUGACUGUGGCCUGAGUCGAGAAGGAGUGCUAGCUCUGAGAAGAAAAGGUUUAUUUCCACUCUCAUGUGACUAUCCAUCUAUCCAUCUCUCCAUCCAUCAGCCCAUUGGACAAUAUGUACCCAGUUCCUAUAUCCAGCUAGCUACUGUACCAGGUGCCAGGCAUUUCGGGAAGAAUAAGACAGACAAGGUUGUCGUCCUCAUCCUUCUGCUCUACCAGGAACAAGUGAAGUGAUAGGAAGAGCUUUUCCUCAAAUAGCUCUGAGUUGUCCCAAGUCCAGCCUCCAGAUCAGAGACCGUGGUUAGGGCCCUGGAGGAUGCCCACAGCACCUCCCAUGUUUGCAUGCUAACUGGAGGCUGCCUCUUCAGGUGUGAGGAGGCAACUGUGCAGGUGGGGCAGGGCUGCCUUUCAUCCCCCUCCUUUCUUCUCCAGGGAUCUGGUAUGCUGAGUUUGCUUUUGAAAUGGAGGUCCUGGCCAGAGGUAGCCUGGUAAAUACAGUUCUUAAUCUAAAAAAACAAAACUCAGUGGGGAGAGAGUAUGGGGAAGAAGGAAGCAUUCUCCUUACCUGUGGACUAGACAGGGAGUGCUGAGAGACGGAGCCUGGGGAAAGUCCCAUUGGUGUGAGCUUAGAGUUCCAGGAGAGAUUAGCCACAGCCGGAUGCUGACAAGGGUGCCAGAUUGUUUCAUUAUGGAAUGGUUAGUUAUCACCUCAGCCUCCCAAAGUGCUGGGAUUACAGGUAUGAGCCACCAUGCUUGACAUGGUUCAUUUUAAAAGAUUACAUCUGGGUCUGUAGACCUCCUCCCAUAUAACUUGGAUUUUGUGGACCUGUAUGAUGGCCUGCAGCACAGCACUGCCAGCCUCAGAGAAGGCUGGGGUGUCAGUUCAUGAGUCACCCCAGAGUCAACACAAGUCAGCCCCACCAGCCGCACAGUGUGCCUGCUGUCUAUUGCAAGGUGAAUGCAAGAUGAUUUUUUAAACAAAUUUGUCUCCCUGUGGCUGGUCACUUGGAGGCCUUUUUUUUUUUUUAAAACAUGUAUUUACAUCCUAUUGAUGUAUCACCAUCCUGUUGGUAACUUUAAAAAUUUUGUGUAUGUAAAAUUGCCUAUCUACUAAUUUGACAACAAUACCCCGGAGGUGGAACUCAUCCCCAACUUUUGGCCUGGCUGUGAGACAUCCCUCCUUGUUAUGUCUUACUUUGUUGCUGUUGCUUUUGUUUCUCCCCACACCCAUGCCCCCAUGGGGGUCCUUGGCCAGCUCUACUCCGACUGCAGUUGUAGAACUGGGCAGAGAAGGUAUGACACCCCCUCCCCCAUUAUACCUCAGAAAGAACUAGAAGUAUGAUAAAUGAGUACGACUGGGAAUUUGUUUUUUCCACUAUCUCUAGGAUGUUCAUGUUUUGUAGAAUCCAUAUCCUUAAUUCUUUUUGUGUGAAAAUGUAGAGCAUACCUAGUUCUCAGACCCAAUUCCAUAGAUUAGAAAAAAGUUUU
ensembl:lncRNA novel transcript